UACGUAGGUGACCAGCGUUGUCCGGAUUUACUGGGCGUAAAGAGCGCGCAGGCGGUCGAUCAAGUCGUGUGUGAAAGCCCCCGGCUCAACUGGGGAGGGUCAUUCGAUACUGAUCGACUCGAAGGCAGGAGAGGGUAGUGGAAUUCCCGGUGUAGUGGUGAAAUGCGUAGAUAUCGGGAGGAACACCAGUGGCGAAGGCGACUACCUGGCCUGUUCUUGACGCUGAGGCGCGAAAGCUAGGGGAGCAAACGGG
rnacentral:rRNA from 1 species